UUAUCCGGAUUUAUUGGGUUUAAAGGGUGCGUAGGCGGCAAGGUAAGUCAGCGGUGAAAGACCAGGGCUCAACUCUGGAAGUGCCGUUGAUACUGUCUGGCUAGAAUGAUUCCGCCGUGGGAGGAAUGAGUAGUGUAGCGGUGAAAUGCAUAGAUAUUACUCAGAACACCGAUUGCGAAGGCAUCUCACGAGGGGUUCAUUGACGCUGAGGCACGAAAGCGUGGGGAUCGAACAGGAUUAGAUACCCUGGUAGUCCACGCAGUAAACGAUGAUGGCUAACUGUCGGGCCUUCGGGUUCGGCGGCCAAGCGGAAGCGAUAAGCCAUCCACCUGGGGAGUACGACCGCAAGGUUGAAACUCAAAGGAAUUGACGGGGGCCCGCACAAGCGGAGGGACAUGUGGUUUAA
rnacentral:rRNA from 1 species